rnacentral:ribozyme from 14 species
CCAAAUGAAUAAAUCAAUAAAGGGAAAGAAUAUUAAUCCAAUAUGGAUGGAAUAUAGAUAUAUCACUUUGUUUUUGUUCUUCUUUGUUUUGCCAUUUGUCUU